AGAGUUUGAUUCUGGCUCAGAACGAACGCUGGCGGCGUGGAUAAGACAUGCAAGUCGAACGGAGCAGUGAGAUUACAUCAAGCUGUUCAGUGGCGGACGGGUGCGUAACACGUGAGUUAUCUGCCCGGAAGAUGGGGAUAGCCCAGGGAAACUUGGAUUAAUACCCUCUGUGAUCGAAAGAUUAAAGGUGCUGCAAGGUGCCGCUUCCGGAUGAGCUCGCGGCCUAUCAGCUAGUUGGCGGGGUAACGGCCCACCAAGGCUACGACGGGUAGCUGGUCUGAGAGGAUGACCAGCCACACUGGAACUGAGACACGGUCCAGACACCUACGGGUGGCAGCAGUCGAGAAUCAUUCACAAAGGGCGAAAGCCUGAUGGUGUGACGCCGCGUGGAGGAUGAAGGUCUUCGGAUUGUAAACUCCCUCAAGUGGGAGUAAUUCUGCGCGUUAACUGCGUCGCAGAUUGAGAGUACCACUAGAGGAAGAGACGGCUAACUCUGUGCCAGCAGCCGCGGUAAUACAGAGGUCUCAAGCGUUGUUCGGAAUCACUGGGCGUAAAGGGUGCGUAGGCCGCGAAGCAAGUCAGAUGUGAAAUCCCGGGGCUCAACCUCGGAAUUGCAUCCGAUACUGCAUCGCUUGAGGACUGGAGAGGAGUCUGGAAUUCAUGGUGGAGCAGUGAAAUGCGUAGAUAUCAUGAGGAACACUAGUGGCGUAGGCGAGACUCUGGACAGUUCCUGACGCUGAGGCACGAAGGCCAGGGGAGCAAACGGGAUUAGAUACCCCGGUAGUCCUGGCAGUAAACGGUGCACGCUUGGUGUGGCGGGAAUCGACCCCCGCUGUGCCGGAGCUAACGCGUUAAGCGUGCCGCCUGGGAAGUACGGUCGCUAGAUUAAAACUCAAAGAAAUUGACGGGGACCCGCACAUGCGGUGGAUUAUGUGGCUUAAUUCGAUCCCACGCGAAGAACCUUACCUGGGCUUGACAUGCAUUGUGUCAGCGGUGAAAGCCGCCUAGUGGAGCAAUCCACGCCUUGCACAGGUGCUGCAUGGCUGUCGUCAGCUCGUGUCGUGAGAUGUUGGGUUAAGUCCCGCAACGAGCGCAACCCCUGUAUUCUGUUGCCAACAGGUAAUGCUGGGAACUCUGAAUAGACUGCCUAGUUAAACUAGGAGGAAGGUGGGGACGACGUCAAGUCCGUAUGGCCCUUACGCCCAGGGCUGCACACGUACUACAAUGCCCGGUACAAUGUGAACCGGUACCGCGAGGUGGAGGAAAUCUCAAAAACCGGGCUCAGUUCAGAUUGAAGGCUGCAACUCGCCUUCAUGAAGCUGGAAUCGCUAGUAACGGCGCAUCAGCUACGGCGCCGUGAGUACGUUCCCGGGUCUUGUACACACCGCCCGUCACAUCAUGGAAGCCGGUUGCGCUCGAAGUGCCCGCGCCAACCUUUAUUGGAGGCAGGGUCCUAAAGCUUGACUGGUGACUGGGAUGAAGUCGUAACAAGGUA
rnacentral:rRNA from 1 species